UACGGAGGGUGCAAGCGUUAUCCGGAUUCACUGGGUUUAAAGGGUGCGUAGGAGGGCAGGUAAGUCAGUGGUGAAAUCUUCAAGCUUAACUUGGAACUGCCGUUGAUACUAUCUGUCUUGAAUACCGUGGAGGUGAGCGGAAUAUGUCAUGUAGCGGUGAAAUGCUUAGAUAUGAACAUAGAACACCAAUUGCGAAGGCAGCUCGCUACACGAAUAUUGACUCUGAGGCACGAAAGCGUGGGGAUCAAACAGGA
rnacentral:rRNA from 1 species